GAGGUGGGAGGACUGCUUGAGCAUGGGAGGUCAAGGCUGCAGUGAACUGUGAUCAUGCCACUGCACUCCAGCCUGAGUGACAGAGUGAGACCUUGUCUC
ensembl:miRNA